rnacentral:rRNA from 1 species
UACGAAGGGGGCUAGCGUUGCUCGGAAUCACUGGGCGUAAAGCGCACGUAGGCGGAUUGUUAAGUCAGGGGUGAAAUCCCGGAGCUCAACUCCGGAACUGCCUUUGAUACUGGAGAUCUUGAGUCCGGGAGAGGUGAGUGGAACUCCGAGUGUAGAGGUGAAAUUCGUAGAUAUUCGGAAGAACACCAGUGGCGAAGGCGGCUCACUGGCCCGGUACUGACGCUGAGGUGCGAAAGCGUGGGGAGCAAACAGG